rnacentral:lncRNA from 1 species
CUCCCCUCCCCUGGGAUUUUGAUAAGAGCCGACCAUGCCUUGUUAGCACUGGUUAGGCCUUCAGCCACCAGCACUGUGGCUCAUUAGUGUCAUGACCUGGCAGAGGGCAGGGCAGGUUUUCCCCACCCAAGCUAAGGAAUGAGGAGCCCUCCUAUCCCAGGCUCUCGAGUGCUGGGAUAACAAGCACGCAGCCCCACGCCUGGCUUCGCACUGUGGCCACAGUGUGUUGUGGUGGCCCCAGGUCCUUCCGCACUGACAUCUCCGGCUCCAGCUGCCAAGAUCACCAGCUGCUGACAGUUCACAGCCAAAUUCCCGCUACAAACUGCUCUAAGUCAGACAGAAACACUUGCAGACCUCCACUCUGUCCCCAGGGGCAACCUGCAGCGAACAACUGGUUGCCAUUAUGAUGCCCUUGUCCCUGUCCCAGACACCCCCACAGGGCGUCUUGCUCACAGCUCCCUGUGGGAUCAGCAGAGCCUCUGCUGGGACUGUCCUAAGCUCCAGUCCCUCUCUCAACCUGGUUCUGUGUGCUGGCUUCUUCCAGAGUCAACCUAGACACUCCCCCAGAAAACCUCGAAACUCAGAGGAGGGAGAUACUGCUGCCUUGGGGAGCCCUCUGGGCUCUGUGGUGCUUCUGUGGCUUCAGCCACCACCCACUGCCAGCUACCAGCCACCAACCACAGGACAGGCCCUCCCUACCCUGCCACGCCUCAUCUUGGAGCUCGUGAGCACUAAGUCGGGAAGAAGCCAGGGACAGAACCCGAUUCCCCAAGAAGCCAAGCUUGCUCGACUCCAUCAGUCCUCUAGUCCGGAAUGCUCUCUAGAUCCCCGUCCCUGCUGAGCUCAGGCUCUCGGUCAGACAAGCCACACCCACACUGACCAUCUUCACCAUCUUCAGCGGUUCUCUACUCUGCCCAUCGAGACCUUCCUUCCUUCAGUCUCCUGUAUAAAAAGGAUGUAUCUGCAGCUCUUAGAAAAGCUGCCUCUAAGGUUGCAUUAAGACAGGGAGAGGCCUAACAAGGAUAGUCCUACUCAGUGCUGAGUCUCCACGGUAAGGCAGAGAGAGAAGUGGGGUGCACAGCGGGGCUGUGAACUGAAUGACAAGAGGCUAGGAGCGAGUGGGGCUGAAAAGCCAAGCACUCCGCACGCUCACCACAGGCCAUGGGGCACACAGUCCCCGGCUAGCUCUCUGAGGGGUGAUGUGUGGAAGGGAAGAUGGGUUCUUCGGGCCGCCCGGGCCUUGAUGCUGUUGGAGGUCUCUGGACACCCUCCUUCCUCCUCUUCUGUUGCCACCCCCCAGCCCCCACCCCGAGUCCAGGGACGGAGUGAACGCCACCUCUCUACACGCGCUGUCACUGUUGAUGUCCUGGCACACAACGCUACCUACACCUGACACUUCUACACUCAGGUUCCCUACCCAGUGUGCCCCUCAAACUCCAGACUCACCUAACUGCCUCCUUGGUAACUCACUCCUCAUGCCUGAUAGAGCCCCCCAUCUGUUCCUCCCACCAGCUCAAGUCAGAAAGCAGGGCACGCUGCUCUCUGCUCCUUCCAGUGGGCUCAAUAGCAACAGUCGUGUCUUCACCACGUCCUCCGACUCCUGUCUCUCAACCUCCACAGCCCUGCCUGGGGCUACCCCACACAGGCAAAUCCUGCCCUUAGAACAACAACAAAAACAAAGCAAAACCAGUUAACUGUCAUUUGUUAUUUAUCUUUACUUUAUGUGCCUGUGUAUUGUGUGCAUGCCUGGUACCUGUGGAGGUGAGAUAAGGACACAGGAUUCCCUGAAACUGGAGUUCACAGACAGUUGUGAGCUUCUAAAUGGAUGCUGGGAAUUGAACCCCGAUCCUCUGGAAGAGCAGCCAGUGCUUUUAACUGCUGAGUCAUCUCUC